rnacentral:sRNA from 1 species
UUAAAAAACGAAUUACCAUUGACAGUAGGGGCGAAAGCUUAAUAAUCCUACCGAGGAAAACUUAAUUUAAACAUAUUGUUUUUUGUAAGCUUUCCCUUUGUCGUGGGAAAGUUUUUAAAAUA